GACGUAGGGCGCGAGCGUUGUCCGGAUUUAUUGGGCGUAAAGAGCUCGUAGGCGGCUUGUCGCGUCGUCCGUGAAAACUUGGGGCUCAACCCCAAGCUUGCGGUCGGUACGGGCAGGCUAGAGUUCGGUAGGGGAGACUGGAAUUCCUGGUGUAGCGGUGAAAUGCGCAGAUAUCAGGAGGAACACCGGUGGCGAAGGCGGGUCUCUGGGCCGAUACUGACGCUGAGGAGCGAAAGCGUGGGGAGCGAACAGG
rnacentral:rRNA from 1 species